GGCUUCAGAGCGCGCUUUCGGGAAAAUUAUUGUCAUUAAGCAUUUGAUUUUAAAUGAAAAUAGUGUAGACUCUUAAUCAAUAGGUCCAAGGUUCGAAUCCUUGACGGCCCACCA
rnacentral:tRNA from 1 species